rnacentral:rRNA from 1 species
AACGAACGCUGGCGGCAGGCUUAACACAUGCAAGUCGAGCGCCCCGCCAGGGGAGCGGCAGACGGGUGAGUAACGCGUGGGAACGUACCUUUUGGUUCGGAACAACUCCGGGAAACUGGAGCUAAUACCGGAUAAGCCCUAACGGGGAAAGAUUUAUCGCCGAAAGAUCGGCCCGCGUCUGAUUAGCUAGUUGGUGAGGUAACGGCUCACCAAGGCGACGAUCAGUAGCUGGUCUGAGAGGAUGAUCAGCCACGCUGGGACUGAGACACGGCCCAGACUCCUACGGGAGGCAGCAGUGGGGAAUAUUGGACAAUGGGCGCAAGCCUGAUCCAGCCAUGCCGCGUGAGUGAUGAAGGCCUUAGGGUUGUAAAGCUCUUUUGUCCGGGAAGAUAAUGACGGUACCGGAAGAAUAAGCCCCGGCUAACUUCGUG